AGAAAGUGAGGCGCGACCCAGAGGAAACCCGGUCAGAGCUCAGAACAGUGCACGAGGGAGGCACACCGCCCAGACACACCUUCUGAGGAGGUCCUGUGAUCUCCAUUCUACUGAAGAGGAAACGGAGGCACAGACAGGGCCGGCAACUGGUCUGUUUGCACAGCUAUACCACCUAAGGGGAAGGACUGAUCUGCGUUUGAUACACCUCUUAACUGGGAUCCACCCCAGUGAGACCCUCUCGAAGUGCAGGUGAAGCCGGCGUCCCUCAGCUGCUUCAAUGACCCACCGGCAGUGAGAACUGAGUGAUCUCUCUUUUUGUGCUGCUAAGAAGCUCAGAACCAGAUCAAGGCUUGUUCCGAGCAACAGUGGCUUGUCCAUCCACCUUCUAUUUUUGUCAUCUUUAAUAAGCACUUCCUGGUACCCAUUUUCUUAUUUAAUUUUGCUGCAUUGUUUUUCGAAAGCCUCCUGAAACUCUUGUGGAAUCACAGGAGAUAAAACAAAGAAAUAGGAAGUGACUUGGGGCCGGGGUGGGGGGGUGGGUGCUGGCCGGCCUAGCCGGAAGGUCGUGAAGUCUUGAUCUUGGGGUCAUGUGUUUGAGCCCCAUGUUAGUCACGGAGUAGAGAUUACUUAAAUCUCUAAACUUAAAAAGGUAGGAGAGAGUACGGAAGUGGGGGAGGGAAGAAGGGAGGAAGGAAGUGACUUGGCAGGAGACAGUGGACUCUAAAUUUGGUCCGGACAUAGUUCUAUGCUUCAGACCAGACAGAGUUCAUCAAGAAGGGCUUCCUGGAGGAGAUGUACCAAAGCUGCGUCUCUGUAGGAGGGGCAGGCUCUGGAUAGCCGUGCUUGGGAGAUUCCGGCUCGCCUGGGCCUUGCUUUUGCUAACUGUGCCGCCCUGAGUGAUUAAGUCAGAGACCUGGUCUCCCUACUUCACAGUUCAGCAAGCAUUUCCUUGGCUGGGUGCUAGUGCAGAGAGGUGAAAAGGACCCAGGCCUUGUCCGUUCGGAGUCUGCAGUCUACCGAGACAGACCCCAAAAGUUUCUCGAGCACGGUGGCUUAAAUAAAUAUUAGCCUCUUGAUGGCUCUCCACGACCGACAGAAUCCAGCCCAAACGCUUUGGAUUGACAUUCCAGCCCCUUCUAUCACUGCUCCCAGCCGAACACCUCCAGCUUCAGUUCUUAAACCCACAACCCAUAGAGCCUACCCACAAGGUAGCUUUGUGACUUCAUAUUUUUUCGCAUCAUCUCCCCUACCUGCGAGGUCCUUUUCCCGGUCUUUCUCAUCUUUCAAGGAGUAACGUAAGUACCACCUCUUCCAGGAAGUCUUCCUCGCCCCUCCCCUCUCCCACAGAGUUAGUUUCUUUCUUGCCUCCACACCUGUGCUCGCGUACUUUUAUCAUCACGUGAACUGCUGUCUGUUGCCAUGGUGAGGCUGAACCCGCCUCACUUGUUUUGUCCCCUAAAAACCUGGCCAAGCCGAUCUGCCCAUGCAACCUAGAGGUGAUAUGCGCCUGAACACACUGGACUGGGAGAUGGGCACACCUGACUUCUAGUUCUAGCUCCACGACUUAUUCGCUGUAUGACCUUGGGCAGGUGAUGCCCCCUCGGGGGCCUGUCACCCGUCAAUAGCAGUAGUAAGUCCUACCAUUGGCCAGCCAGCCUUCCAGUUAAAGGAAAGAAACACGCAAAGCACCUCACACAGAGAAAGUGCUCAGAAAAUCUGAAGCCCCCGUCCCUCAGGCUCGAUGAAUGAAUGACCGGGAGUCUGCGGAUCUGUCUGCUGACUCUGCAGCACACCUGUGGGUGGCUGGGCCCUCCCUACAGCCCUUCUUCCUCUUGGAGGUGGAGUGGCCAACGGCCACCCUUGGCGGUGCCCCGGGAAGCACACAAAACAACCAGUCAGCACCAGGGUUGUGUAAAUGGGAGUGUUUGCUGGGCCUGGGGCGAGCGGUGAUGGAACCUUUGGCCUUUCAGAGAAGCUAACAAGGCCACUCUGGACCAGAGGCCCCCGCUAGUGGAGACUGGGGAAGGCUUAAACAGGGCCUCGGUCCCAGAGGGGCCCAGAGAAGCCGCAAAGCAGGGAAGACCGAGGCAGGUAAUGAAGGCCAAUUUAUGCAACAGCCCUGCUUCCCCAGAUGUCUGAAGAGUCCUAUUUUCAGGGCCCUAGGGAAGUGGCUGCUUAAGGGAGCUGGCGGGGAGCCAUUUCGUAAUGUUGGAAGGGCAGUCCCCCAACCCCCGCCCUAGGCCCUUGGGCAUGACCUUGCUCCCUGCCAACCGGACCACCAGUUACGUGGCUCCCGUCUCACUGGCCCUUCCGCCUUGUGCAUAAGAGUCCCUGGGGCCCAAGCAGAGGCCUCAGGAGAAACUGGAAAGGGUGUGAGGCAGGGAUCCGUGUUGUGUGUGUCCUGGAUAAGGCCCACGAGGGGCAGGCAAGGCCAUGAGGUGAUGUGAAGGGGACGUUGGCCCCAAACCCAGUUCGCUCUGUUUCUGAGGAGCACAGGAAGGGGCUUUGGAGACGGCAGCAGCGUCUGGAACGGGACAGCAGGUUGCCGCGCACACACACGGGCUAGAGCGUAUGCUCGCUCUGUGGGAAGGUUCCUGCACACACAGGUGAGCACGGUGUGCACCUGCGUGUAGGCUGUCUGUGGGGGGUGCUCCUGAGUGCGGUCGUGCACGGAUACCACCCCUUCCUACACCCCCAAAGUCAGCAGGAUCUUUCUAGGUCACACAUCUGAGGUUGUCACGACCUUGCUUCAGACAUUUCAAGAACGUCUCCAUGUCCCUUGCAGGGUAAGUAGUCUGUACCCAUUACUGAAUUUGAUGAGGCCCUUCCUGAUCUGAAUCCAACCUCCUAGUCUGGUUUCUUUUUUUUUUCUCUCUCUCUUUCUUUCUUUCUUUUUUU